AUUCUUACCUGGACGAGGUCGAUGAGCGAUCAAGAAAGCUCAUGGCCUAGUUUAACGGCCUCCAUUGCACAUGGGAGGGAGUGUUAACCUACCAUCUCCCCACAAGUGAGAGAGUAGGGUGGUAUGCGUUCGCGCGGCCCCUUC
rnacentral:snRNA from 4 species